GCCAACGUAGCUCAGUCGGCAGAGCAGUUGUUUCGUAAACAACAGGUCGGUGGUUCGAGUCCACUCGUUGGCUCCA
rnacentral:tRNA from 2 species